AUUGAACGCUGGCGGCAGGCUUAACACAUGCAAGUCGAGCGGAGAGAGGUAGCUUGCUACUGAUCUUAGCGGCUGACGGGUGAGUAAUGUUUAGGAAUCUGCCUAUUAGUGGGGGACAACAUUUCGAAAGGAAUGCUAAUACCGCAUACGUCCGACGGGAGAAAGCAGGGGAUGUUCGGACCUUGCGCUAAUAGAUGAGCCUAAGUCGGAUUAGCCAGUGGGUGGGGUAAAGGCCUACCAAGGCGACGAUCUGUAGCGGGUCUGAGCGGAUGAUCCGCCACACUGGGACUGAGACACGGCCCAGACUCCUACGGGAGGCAGCAGUGGGGAAUAGUGGACAAUGGGCGCAAGCCUGAUCCAGCCAUGCCGCGUGUGUGAAGAAGGCCUUAUGGUUGUAAAGCACUUUAAGCGAGGAGGAGGCUACUUUAGUUAAUACCUAGAGAUAGUGGACGUUACUCGCAGAAUAAGCACCGGCUAACUCUGUGCCAGCCGCCGCAGUAAUAC
rnacentral:rRNA from 1 species